rnacentral:misc_RNA from 1 species
AACGCACAUUGCGCCCCCUGGUAUUCCGGGGGGCAUGCCUGUUCGAGCGUCAUUACAACCCUCAAGCUCUGCUUGGUAUUGGGCUCUGCCGGUCCUGGCAGGCCUUAAACUCAGUGGCGGUGCCGCCUGGCUCCAAGCGUAGUAAUUCUUCUCGCUUCGGAGGCCUGGGCGCGUGCUUGCCAGCAACCCCCAAUUUUUUCAGGUUGACCUCGGAUCAGGUAGGGAUACCCGCUGAACUUAA